GGUUCCAUGGUUUAAUGGUUAGGACUCUGGAUUUUGAAUCCAGCGCUACGAGUUCAAAUCUCGGUGGAACCU